rnacentral:tRNA from 4 species
GAACGUGUAGCUCAGUGGUCAGAGCAGCGGUCUCUUAAACCGCAGGUCGUGGGUUCGACUCCCACCGCGUUCUCCA